rnacentral:siRNA from 1 species
UAUAUUAUGAUGGUAGUCC